rnacentral:rRNA from 1 species
ACCAGACUCCUACGGGAGGCAGCAGUGGGGGAUAUUGCACAAUGGGGGGAACCCUGAUGCAGCGACGCCGCGUGGGUGAAGGAGUGCUUCGGCAUGUAAAGCCCUAUCGGCAGGGAAGAAGCAAGACGGUACCUGACUAAGAAGCCCCGGCUAACUACGUGCCAGCAGCCGCGGUAAUACGUAGGGGGCGAGCGUUAUCCGGAUUCACUGGGUGUAAAGGGAGCGUAGACGGCAGUGCAAGUCCGGAGUGAAAGCCCGGGGCUCAACCCUGGGACUGCUCUGGAAACUGUAAAGCUGGAGUGCGGGAGGGGCAGGCGGAAUUCCUGGUGUAGCGGUGAAAUGCGUAGAUAUCAGGAGGAACACCGGCGGCGAAGGCGGCCUGCUGGACCGUAACUGACGUUGAGGCUCGAAAGCGUGGGGAGCAAACAGGAUUAGAUACCCCAGUAAA